CUUCAUUUACUCUAAUUAUCUCCAUUUUCUAUCAUAAUUUUGUUUGUAUAGUUAAGAAAUUAUUUUGUUACUCAGAGUGAUUUACACUGACUUACGUGUGAAUAUUAUAAUAUCUAUUUGAACUUAUUGUUGUUGCUUAAACUGUUGUUAAAUGAGAUUUCUGUAUCGUGAUCUGCGGCAGAAUAAUCGCAAAGUCCAGGAAACUUCCGGGCAGUGGCCCGCGAGAAACUAAAAGAAAUGUCAUAGAAAGGGACUGACUCGUAAGGUAUAACUUGUAGUUACCCCUAGGCAAUUAUCUACAUAUAUUUUUUAAAAAAAUUUGCAAGUUUAAAAUCUAUUUGGCACCUUGACAAUUGUAGUUCCUUCGCCAGAUCACAAUACGAAAUAUCCCCUGUUUUUUUACCUUGACAUAAUGUCAAAUGUAUUUUAGUUAUAUAUAAGAGUAUAGUAAAUUUUCAUAUGCAGUCCUUGCUUUAAAUUUUAUGUAUCCAUAAAAUAUGGUUAGAAGCAGAGACACAUAGAAAAUUCAAAUUCUGAAUUUGUUUUUGGCCAAGUAAAAUAAGUUUUGAGGCAAAUUUAAUGUUUGUGUUUUAAAAAUAAAUUCAAUGAAAUACUUGUAAGUAAAGCAAGUACAUUGACUUUAGUUAUGCAAACUGUUAUAACAAUAUAAUUUUUUUAAUAAUUUAAUGCAUGACCCUUAUAAUAGUAUUAUAUUAGUAAACAAUUUGUUUCCAAUUGAGGAAGAAUAUAUUCAGAAUGUUAUUAUCAUAAAUAGUGAUUUUGUGCUGACAUUUAAUGUAAUUCAUAUCUCUUUAAAUAUCUUUAUUCACUUUAAAUUAUGACAUAGUAUUUUUUAUGAUAAUGUUCUUUUUUUAUAUAAGUUUUACUGUGUAAAUAUUUUUAUUUAAAUAGUAUUGUAAAAGUUUAAAAAUAGAAAUAAAUCCAAAAAGUUAAUAUAAAAUGCAUGUAACAAAAUUAAAAGGAGUUUAAAUAACGCAUCGUCACCAACUCACUAAUAUAGAGUGAUACCUCGAGAUACGAGUUUAAUUCGUUCCCUAACCUUGCUCGUAUCUCAAAGCAAUUUUGCCCAUUGAAAUGCCGUUAAUCCGUUCCGUCCCCAAAAAUGCUACCCUCAAUUGUUUUUUUUGUGUGUUUUUGAAUAAGAAAAAUGUAUUUAUAAAUGACAAAUACUAUAUAAAAACAUAAUAAAAGAGAAUGUGAAGCAGAAAAAACUGCUUUUAUAAAGUGUACAUGCAUAUUUGUAUUUUGGUUACUUAAAUGCAACUUACACACAACUUAAAUGCUACUAUAUGCUUACUUUUAGUCACUGCUUUUCUCUUCACUGGUCUUUGCUUUUUUAGCCAGAUUUAAAAACUGUCCAAGGAGGUUUGUUUCUUCCUUUUCAGAAUGCUGGAGAAAUGAGUUAGGCAAGUCUCAUUAAAUAGCUCCGAUGUACUACCAGUUUCAACUUUUUCAGGGUGUUUCUUUUCCACGAACUGUGAAAUUCUCUUCCACAUUCCCAAGAAUUCUUUUAUCUCAUUUGUAGAGAUAACCUCCUCCACCUCUGGUUCUUCCUCGAAUCCAAUUUCUUGCAGUACGCCCGAAUGCUCACCCAUCACCAGGUCCAUGGAUUUUCUCAGAGGCACAAUCUCCUCCUCCGCUGGCACUUCGAGUUCGAAUCCUUCAAAGCUACGGACUUAGCCGACAGCACAAUUUUCGGCUAUAGACUUCGAGGCUCGGUGGGUGAACGGGAGCAUUGUCGAGGACGAGAAGGGCUUGCAAGGCCAUUCCUCGUAUCUCAAAUAACUCGUAUGUAAGGGCAUUCGUAUCUCAAGGUUUAACGACAAAAGUUGUUGGUUUGAAGAGGAAGAAAGGUAAUAGGCCCACUCCUUUUACAAGAAAAGCAGUUUUGGAGGGAAAAAAAUAUGCUUAUGAACUGCUUUGUAGAUGAAGAGACAUUAUCGAAGACCAUAAAUAAAGGCAUUUUGAAGAAGAAGCUGCUAUAGAAUGUGGUAUAGAGAAGGUUUCUUCUUGUAUGGAAUCAUGUGUUGAAAUUAAUGAAGUGAAGCUGUUCUUUACUUCUGAUGGGUGGCUAUUGGUUAAAAAUGUGAUUUUACAAAAUCGAAAAUGAUGACAUGGGAAUGUUAUUCAUGCAAACAAGAUUGCGGUAUGGUGAUACUAUUUUGUGCGACUCUUAUUCGCAGUGGUAUCACUAUUCCUGUGGCGGCCCUCUGCAGCCUCCAGAGCAAAAGUAUUGUUCAAAAUCUAAACUUUUUAGGCUUUUUUUUUAGCUUAUUUUGAUUUUCUUCCUGUGAGAUAUAUUUUGAAUAGAUAUUUGUCAUGUGUAAGCCAAUUUUGAAUAAAUAUUUGUCAUGUGUAAGCCAACUUUAUAUUUUUUUUAAUUCUGAAACAAACUUUAUUUCUUAAUUAGUAAUUUUUAUUGCUUUUUUAAAAAAAAAAAAUAUUUGUUUAACCAUUGUCAAAUUUCAAGUGAAUGUCCACAUAAAAACUCUUCAUUAUUAAUUUCUGAUGAACUUCAAUGACAUAAAUUUUCCCACCAAGUUGUUAAAUAAUUAAGUUUCUAAGUAUAGGUGUUACCUAUUUUGAUAGAAUAGUACUUUACUUUCAAUAAAUUUGCAUUCAGUAUGUUCCUUUUAACUGUAAUUUAUGUAGUAUAUGUUUCUUUCAACUUUGUGAUUGCUUGCUUCUAAUCCUAAUUGUAUAAAUUUAUAUUUAGUUUUUUAAAUCUGCUACAUUUUUGUCCAAUAAAAGUUUAGUUUCUUCUUGCA